rnacentral:rRNA from 1 species
AACGAACGCUGGCGGCAUGCCUAACACAUGCAAGUCGAACGAGACCUUCGGGUCUAGUGGCGCACGGGUGCGUAACGCGCGGGAACCUGCCCUUCGGUUCGGAAUAACGCCCCGAAAGGGGUGCUAAUACCGUAUAAUUUCGUCGGAUCAGAGAUUUAUCGCCUUUGGAUGGGCCCGGGUUGGAUUAGCUAGUUGGUAGGGUAAGAGCCUAGCUAGGGGACGAUCCAUAGCUGGUCUGAGAGGAUGAUCAGCCACACUGGGACUGAGACGCGGCCCAGACUACUACGGGAGGCAGCAGGGGGGAAUAUUGGACAAUGGGCGAAAGCCUGAUCCAGCAAUGCCGCGUGAGUGAUGAAGGCCUUAGGGAUGUAAAGCUCUUUUACCCGGGAGGAUAAUGACAGUACCGGGAGAAUAAGCGCCGGCUAACUACGUG